CUAGGGGACAGAAGAGUUGAUUCGGAUUUCUGCAGCGAUUCAUAGUAAUGUUAUGCACAUAUUUGUUCUAUUUUCGGUGCUGUGCUAGUUGUACAUGUUGUGGAUCAUUUUUUUCGAAAAAUAUGCUUCUGUGUAGGAAAAUAUAGAGCUGUUUUGGAGAUUGUUGGAAGUGUGGCGACAGUGAUGUUAGCACUAAUCUAGUAGCUCUUGGAUUCAUAGUGUGGUAAUUGGAUUUUUGCAUUACUGGAGGUUUGAAAUUUACAGAGAUGUAUGUAGAUUGCAUGGGUGUCGAAUCAGCGUCGUUGUUUUGGAAAUUUUGUACUUGCAGGAUAGAUCUGAUUCGCACAGGAGUGUUGCCGGGCUGGCGGGGUGUAUUGGUUCCGUUCUACCAGUGGACUCCCAGGAUUCGAUGAGUGCCCCCAUUGUCAAGGUGGACGCGGUCGGCAAAGCACAGCCAUAAGAAACUGUGCUGAACAUCCUUCUCUCCUUCUGAUUUUGCAGCUCUUUUAGCAAGUUUGCAUAUUUAGAAAGGUUGAGCUUUGUCUAAUUACCGUAGAAGUUGAUCUGAAGCUGGUUGUUUGGCACAUAUUUCACUGCAAUUUUAGUUUGAGUGCAAUUUGGGACAAAUUUGUUUGGAUGGGUAGUAUGUUUGUUGGAUUUCCCCCCCGUGCCACAGGCAGCUUUAUGGUGUAAAUUGGGUAGUCGGAGUAGAUAACUUUUUUUACUUGGGCCAAUGGAACAUUUGUCGCUUGGACUUUGGGGGUUAGUGAUGUUGAGUUCAGAAUUGCCGUAUUUAUUUGAUGAGUUUCGCUACAGUGGAAGCCACAGGAUUUUUUUUUAUUGGUACGUGAUAAAUUUGGAGUAAAACUUUUGUGGAUUGUUUAGAGGCAAGCUGGUCGUGUUUAGGUUGUUGGUUACUUUUUAGAGGCAAUGGAACAAUGCAGUUUGCAGUUUUGGGUGUUAGUGAUGUUGGAUCCAGUAUAACCAUAUUUGUUUUAUGAGUUUUGAUCCAGUGCAAGUCAAAUGAUUGUUUUGAUUGGGAGAUGAUUGGUUUGGAGUAAAACCUUGAUGAUGGUUGUUUGGGACAAAAAUGUUCAUCAAUGUACUUGGGGUGAUUUCACACAGGAGGUUCGGUUUGAGUAUUUUCUAGAGGCAAGCUGGUUGUGCUUAGGUUGUCAGUCAAGCAGCUUGAAAGCAUGCCCACUGUCUAUGCAAAUUCACCAAUGUAGCUACUCUAUCUUGCAGGAAACUCUGUUAUCACAUAGUAACCUGAUGUUCUAUGAGCUAAUGCGGAUGCAAGGGAACCAUUCAGCGGCGGCAAGUGACUUGCUUGAGGCAAUCAAAGGGUCAUUUGUUGUUCUGUAAAACAGUUUGCCCUGUGUGGUAUAGGCAAUGUUUUGAGGGAAUAGGUAUAGGCAAUUGGAAAUGCCAUGUAACUCUUUUUCAUUCAGUUUUAAGAACCUCCACAAGAUAUUCAGUUUGGACCGUGUGCAGGGUUAAUUCAAUGCACUUUAAUUCAUGCAGCUCCCACCAAUACCUUUUUAUCUUGACUAGUGCAAUCACUAGGAUAAUGCAACACAAUGCUAAUGGAAAUUCACCGAGGAAAUUUCAGUCUACAUGCACAAACACUUGUACAC
rnacentral:lncRNA from 1 species